UACGUAGGGUGCGAGCGUUAAUCGGAAUUACUGGGCGUAAAGCGUGCGCAGGCGGUUCGUUGUGUCUGAUGUGAAAGCCCCGGGCUCAACCUGGGAAUGGCAUUGGAAACUGGCGAGCUGGAGUGUGGCAGAGGGGGGUGGAAUUCCGCGUGUAGCAGUGAAAUGCGUAGAGAUGCGGAGGAACACCGAUGGCGAAGGCAGCCCCCUGGGCCUGCACUGACGCUCAUGCACGAAAGCGUGGGGAGCAAACAGG
rnacentral:rRNA from 1 species